rnacentral:rRNA from 1 species
UACGAAGGGGGCUAGCGUUGCUCGGAAUCACUGGGCGUAAAGCGCACGUAGGCGGCUUUUUAAGUCAGGGGUGAAAUCCUGGAGCUCAACUCCAGAACUGCCUUUGAUACUGAGGAUCUUGAGUUCAGGAGAGGUGAGUGGAACUGCGAGUGUAGAGGUGAAAUUCGUAGAUAUUCGCAAGAACACCAGUGGCGAAGGCGGCUCACUGGCCCGAUACUGACGCUGAGGCACGAAAGCGUGGGGAGCAAACAGG